GAGAGGGGAGCUUGGGAAAGUCUGCGAGGAAACCUCCCGUGUUUCGCUCUCUGCUCGGGAGGACCAACUUGUCCCCCUUGUAGGGGCCUUGCCGCCAACGAUGUAUGCGAAGGAACAGUAAAACGGAAAUUUUACCGUUCAACGGUCGCAAGACUAUUUAGAGGAAAAAAGUGUCACAGUUUGGUAAGAAGAUCCAAGGGCACGAUCAACAGCUCGUGCACUGCCUUGGUGUGGACCCAGAGUUCAAGCACAGACGAAGAUCAGACACUGACUUCACACUUCUGAUAGAUCCUGUGAAACCUUAGUAUAGUAUUUCUCUCCUGCUGGUGGAAGAGAGAAGCACAAGACUAAAAGCUCUCUGGUUUUCAGCCUCUGAUAGUAAGGGGACACGGGUUUGAUCCUUGGUCCGGGAAGAUCCCACAUGCUGCGGAGCAACUAAACCCGUGUGCCACAACUACUGAGCCUGCGCUCCAGAGGCCGUGAGCCACAACUACUGAAGCCCGCAUGCCACAACUACUGAAACCCAUGAGCCUAGAGCCCGUGCUCUGCAACAGGAGAAGCCACCGCAGUGAGAAGCCCGCGACCCGCAACGAAGAGUAGCCCUUGCUCACUGCAGCUAGAGGAAGCCUGCAUGCAGCAACGAA